rnacentral:rRNA from 1 species
GAUAAACGCUGGCGGCGUGCCUAAUGCAUGCAAGUCGAACGGGAGCGCCUUCGGGCGUCGACCGUGGCGGACGGGUGAGGAGCGCGUAGCUGACCUGCCCAGGUGUGGGGGAUAGGCCUCGGAAACGGGGUGUAAGACCGCAUACGCUCAUGGUGGGGGACCGCCAUGAGGAAAGGCUUUCUUCGGAGAGUCGCGCCUGGAGGGGCUGCGUCCGAUUAGCUAGUUGGUGGGGUAACGGCCUACCAAGGCGGUGAUCGGUCGCUGGUCUGAGAGGACGACCAGCCACACGGGGACUGAGACACGGCCCCGACUCCUACGGGAGGCAGCAGCAAGGAAUUUCGCAAUGGGCGCAAGCCUGACGGAGCAACGCCGCGUG